AGAACGAACGCUGGCGGCAUGCCUAACACAUGCAAGUCGAACGAGACCUUCGGGUCUAGUGGCGCACGGGUGCGUGACGCGUGGGAAUCUGCCCUUCGGUUCGGAAUAACAGUUAGAAAUGACUGCUAAUACCGGAUAAUGACGUAAGUCCAAAGAUUUAUCGCCGAAGGAUGAGCCCGCGUAAGAUUAGCUUGUUGGUGAGGUAAAGGCUCACCAAGGCUACGAUCUUUAGCUGGUCUGAGAGGAUGAUCAGCCACACUGGGACUGAGACACGGCCCAGACUCCUACGGGAGGCAGCAGUGGGAAUAUGGACAAUGGGCGAAAGCCUGAUCCAGCAAUGCCGCGUGAGUGAUGAAGGCCUUAGGUGUAAAGCUCUUUUACCCGGGAUGAUAAUGACAGUACCGGAGAAGUAAGCUCCGGCUAACUCCGUGCCAGCAGCCGC
rnacentral:rRNA from 1 species